rnacentral:rRNA from 1 species
UACGGGGGGGGCAAGCGUUGUUCGGAAUUACUGGGCGUAAAGGGCUCGUAGGCGGCCAACUAAGUCGGAUGUGAAAUCCCCAGGCUCAACUUGGGAACUGCAUCCGAUACUGGAUGGCUUGAAUCCGGGAGAGGGAUGCAGAAUUCCAGGUGUAGCGGUGAAAUGCGUAGAUAUCUGGAGGAAUACCAGUGGCGAAGGCGGCAUCCUGGACCGGCAUUGACGCUGAUGAGCGAAAGCUAGGGGAGCAAACGGG